CCUGCUCAAUGUAAAAUAAAUAGCCGCAGAAAUUCUGUGCUAAGGUAGCAUAAUAACUUGUUUUUUAAUUAAAAAAUAGAAUGAAAGGAAAAACGAAUUAUUACCUUUUUUAUUUAUAACAUAUUAAACUAUUUUAAAUGUAAAAAAACAUUUAUAUAAAGAAUAGACGAUAAGACCCUAAUGAAUUUCACUUAAAGUUUAGCUGGGGAGGCUAAUAUAAUGAAAACUUAAACUCAUCUUUAAAAUACAAUAUUAAAAUUAAUAAAAUUACCAUAGGGAUAACAGCGUAAUUUAAUAAUAAAGCUCUUAUACAAUAUUAAGAUUACGACCUCGAUGUUGAAUUAUUAUUACUAAUAUAAGAAAAAAUAUUCUAAGUAAGUCUGUUCGACUUUUAAACUAAUACAU
rnacentral:rRNA from 1 species